rnacentral:rRNA from 1 species
AACGAACGCUGGCGGCAGGCUUAACACAUGCAAGUCGAACGCCCCGCAAGGGGAGUGGCAGACGGGUGAGUAACGCGUGGGAAUCUACCCAGAUCUACGGAACAACAGUUGGAAACGACUGCUAGUACCGUAUACGCCCUACGGGGGAAAGAUUUAUCGGAUUUGGAUGAGCCCGCGUUGGAUUAGCUAGUUGGUGGGGUAAUGGCCUACCAAGGCGACGAUCCAUAGCUGGUCUGAGAGGAUGAUCAGCCACACUGGGACUGAGACACGGCCCAGACUCCUACGGGAGGCAGCAGUGGGGAAUAUUGGACAAUGGGCGCAAGCCUGAUCCAGCCAUGCCGCGUGAGUGAUGAAGGCCUUAGGGUUGUAAAGCUCUUUCACCGAUGAAGAUAAUGACGGUAGUCGGAGAAGAAGCCCCGGCUAACUUCGUGCCAGCAGCCGCCGUAAUAC